AAAAAACUCCAAAAUUUUGGGGGAAAUACCCAAAAAACCCUAAAGUUUUGGGAGAAAAUACCCAAAAACUUUUGGGAGAAUUGCCCCAAAAACCACAAAAUAUGGGGGAAAACCUCCCCAAAAAAACCCCAAAUUUUGGGGGAAAAUCACAAAAAGAAACCCCAACAUUUUGGGCAAAAAUCCCAAAAAAAAACCCCAAUUUUUUGGGGGAAAUCCCAAAAAAACCCAAAUUUUGUUUUGUUUUUCCACCUGCAGCAGCGAAUCCAAAAGGAGUUGGGGGUCCCGGUGAGGGAAUUUGGGAAUUUUGGGGGAAAUUUCAGAGAUUUUGGGGAGUUUUGGGGGGAAUAUUGGGAUUUUGGGGGGAAUUUUUGGGGAAUUCGGGGUGAUUUAGGGGAGGAAUUUUGGGAUUUUGGGGGAUUUUGGUGGAAAAUUUGGGAGAUUUUGGGGGGAAUUGGGAAGUUUGGGGAGAUCUGGGGAUUUGGGGAAGGAAUUUGGGAAAUGUUUGGGAAUUUGUGGAUUUUAGGAAAUUUUGGGAUUUUUGGGGGGAACUGGGAGGGAUUUGGGGAAUUUUGGGACUUUUGAGGAGGAGUUUGGGAAAUUUUGGGGAGAUUUGGGGAUUUUUGGAGGUUCCUGGCAGGGAAAUUUGGGGGGUUUUGGUGGGAUUUGGGAUUUUUUGGGUGGGAUUUGGGAUUUUUGGGACUUGGGGAGGAAAUUUGAGAUUUUUGGGGGUUCCUGGGAGAGAUUUGGGGUAAAUUUGGGGGAUUUUGGGGGCAGGGGUGGAAUUUUUGGGGGAAUUUUGGGGAUUUUUGGGUUUUCCCCCCAGGCUGAGUCUGAUGGAGGAAGAGGAGGAGGAGGAGGAGGAGGAAGAGCAGAGCCCGAACACCCCCAGGACCCCCCUGGAGCCGCCCCGGGACCUUUUUGGCUCCUCCAGCCUCGAGUUCCAGACUUUCUGAAGACGAAAUUCCGAAUUUCCCUCCGAGUUUUUUCCCCGUUUUUUGGCGUUUUCACCCCAAAAUUCUCAUUUUUAUCCCAGUUCAAACCCCAAAUUUGAGAUUUUCGGGCCUUUUUUUUGGGAAUUUUGGGGUUUAUCCCGAAUAUUUUGGGGUUCCCACCCCUUUUAUCUCCUCCAGGUUUUGCCAGGGUGGAAUUCCCAAAUUCCCACUCGUUUUUUUCCCAAUUUUUGGGGUUUUCACCCCAAAAUCCAGUUACAAAUUGAGCGUUUUUGGAGGUUUUUUUGGGAAUUUUUGGGAUUUCUCCCAAACUUUUGGGGCUCCCCAGCCCUUUCCCUCAUUCCAGGUUUUCUGGGAACGGAAUUCCCAAAAUUCCCACUUGGCUUUUUCCCCUUUUUUGCCGUUUUCACCCCAAAAUUCCCCCAAUAAAAACCUGCAGCAACUCCUUCGUUUCUGGGCUCUUUAUUUGGGAAUUUCACGGGAAUUUCUCUGGAAUUUCCUGGAAUUUCUCUGGAAUUCUCCCUGGAAUCCCUCUGUCAGAGCCACAGGACGUAGUGGCGGCUGCGGAAUUCUCUGGAAUUCUCUCCAGAAUUCCGUGAUUUCUCUGGAAUUCUCGGCUCACAGUCUCAGGACGUAGUGGCGGCUGUGGAACUCUCUGGAAUUCUGGGAUUUUCCAUGGAUUUUCCAUGAAUUUUCUGGGAUUUUCCAACUCACAACCUCAGUACGUAGUGCCGGCUGCAGGUACGGUACCGGACCCGGUAUUUCCCAUGGAUUUUCCAUGGAUUUUCCAUGGAAUUCUGGGCUCACAGCCUGAGUACAUACUGUUGGCUGGAGCAGUGGUACCUGACCCUGGAUUUCCCAUGGAAUUUCCAUGGAUUUUCCC
ensembl:lncRNA